rnacentral:rRNA from 1 species
AUACGUAGGUGACAAGCGUUAUCCGGAUUUACUGGGCGUAAAGGGCGUGUAGGCGGUCUUGCAAGUCAGAAGUGAAAUUCCUGAGCUCAACUCGGGCGCUGCUUCUGAAACUGCAGGACUUGAGUGCUGGAGGGGAUAGCGGAAUUCCUAGUGGAGCGGUAAAAUGCGCAGAUAUUAGGAAGAACACCGGUGGCGAAGGCGGCUAUCUGGACAGUAACUGACGCUGAGGCGCGAAAGUGUGGGGAGCAAACAGGAUUAGAUACCCUGGUAGUCCACACUGUAAACGAUGAAUGCUAGGUGUAGGGGGUAUCGACCCCUUCUGUGCCGCAGUUAACACAAUAAGUAUUCCGCCUGGGGAGUACGGCCGCAAGGUUGAAACUCAAAGGAAUUGGCGGGG